GCCCCGGUCGUAUAGCCAGGUCUAGUAUGGGAUGUAAAACCCGCCAGAACCCGGGUUCAAAUCCCGGCCGGGGCG
rnacentral:tRNA from 1 species